rnacentral:rRNA from 1 species
UUUUUGUGAACGCGAAGAACCUUACCUACCCUUGACAUGCCACUAACGAAGCAGAGAUGCAUUAGGUGCUAGAAAAGAGAAAGUGGACACAGGUGCUGCAUGGCUGUCGUCAGCUCGUGUCGUGAGAUGUUGGGUUAAGUCCCGCAACGAGCGCAACCCUUGUCUCUAGUUGCUACGAAAGGGCACUCUAGAGAGACUGCGGGUGACAAACAGGGAGGAAGGUGGGGAUGACGUCCAGUCCUCAUGGCCCUUAUGGGUAGGGCUUCACACGUCAUACAAUGGUGCAUACAGAGGGUUGCCCAGCCGCGAGGUGGAGCUAAUCCCAGAAAAUGCAUCGUAGUCCGGAUCGUAGUCUGCAACUCGACUACGUGAAGCUGGAAUCGCUAGUAAUCGCGGAUCAACAUGCCGCGGUGGAUACAUUUCCGGGUCUUGUACACACACACAAAAA